UGGACCUCUCGGGGUUACAGCCUUGCUGAAUUAUUCACCCUUGUCUUUUGCGUACUUCUUGUUUCCUUGGUGGGUUCGCCCACCACUAGGACAAACAUAAACCUUUUGUAAUUGCAAUCAGCGUCAGUAACAAAUUAAUAAUUACAACUUUCAACAACGGAUCUCUUGGUUCUGGCAUCGAUGAAGAACGCAGCGAAAUGCGAUAAGUAGUGUGAAUUGCAGAAUUCAGUGAAUCAUCGAAUCUUUGAACGCACAUUGCGCCCUUUGGUAUUCCAAAGGGCAUGCCUGUUCGAGCGUCAUUUGUACCCUCAAGCUUUGCUUGGUGUUGGGCGUCUUGUCUCUAGCUUUGCUGGAGACUCGCCUUAAAGUAAUUGGCAGCCGGCCUACUGGUUUCGGAGCGCAGCACAAGUCGCACUCUCUAUCAGCAAAGGUCUAGCAUCCAUUAAGCCUUUUUUUCAACUUUGACCUCGGAUCA
rnacentral:rRNA from 1 species